GCUUGCUAGUAGUGUCAGCUAAGUGGCGCACGGNUGAGUAAUGUAUAGCUAACAUGCCCCNUAUAGGGGGAUAACAGUUGGAAACGACUGCUAAUACCCCAUAUGCCUCUAAUACAUAAGUNUGCGANGGAAAUGAUUUUUCNNUAANGGAUUGGGCUAUAUCGUAUCAGCUAGUUGGUGAGGUAAAGGCUCACCAAGGCUAUGACGCGUAGCUGGUCUGAGAGGAUGAUCAGCCACACUGGAACUGAGACACGGUCCANACUCCUACNGGAGGCAGCAGUGAGGAAUAUUGCACAAUGGGGGAAACCCUGAUGCAGCAACNCCGCGUGGAGGAUGACNCAUNUCNGUGUGUAAACUCAUUUUAUUAGGGAAGAUAAUGACGGU
rnacentral:rRNA from 1 species